GAAUUUUGGACAAUGGGCGAACGCCUGAUCCAGCAAUGCCGCGUGCAUGCUGACGGCCUUCGGGUUGUAAACUGCUUUUGUACGGAACGCCAAGCUUUGGGUUAAUACCCUGGAUUCCUGACUGUACCGUAAGAAUAACCACCGCCUACCUCCGUUCCAGCCGCCGCGGUAAUACGUAGGGUGCAAGCGGUAAUCGGAAUUACUGGGCGUAAAGCGUGCGCAGGCGGUUGUGUAAGACAGAGGUGAAAUCCCCGGGCUCAACCUGGGAACUGCCUUUGUGACUGCAAGGCUAGAGUACGGCAGAGGGGGUGGAAGUCCGCGUGUAGCAGUGAAAUGCGUAGAUAUGCGGAGGAACACCGAUGGCGAAGGCAACCCCCUGGGCCUGUACUGACGCUCAUGCACGAAAGCGUGGGGAGCAAACAGG
rnacentral:rRNA from 1 species